ACCCAACUGACGAGUUCCAAAUAGGACGAAACCCGCGCCCUACAU
rnacentral:hammerhead_ribozyme from 1 species